UUUAAAUUCAUGCUGGAAUUUACCAAUUAUAUGUCAUGCUGGAAUUUAAAUUCAAAUUAUUUGAGCAUAAUUGUGUAUUCAAGAAAUAGAAAUGAGUCUUCUUUCAUACUAAAGUUUGAGAACAUCAAAAUCAUAGGAUGGAAAGAAUACUAUUUUGGGGCUUGUUUUCAAUGCAGCAUUUAUACUCAUUGCGACUUGAUGGGACUACAGAACAAUAUCAUAGAACCUCAAAAUGAAGAUUUUUAUUUUUCAUGUCCAUGUAGAUAUUCAAUCAAUGUUCAUAUUCAUCUACCAAACAACAGAAUUUGGAUGUAA